GUUCUAUGUCAAAUCAGGGCAGAUACCAUGGUUCAGAAUCUUCAACUCUGUUGUCAUCUUUCUCUUGUCAUAUGAAAACCCCCCACCACCACUUAACCUGGCUUAAUUGGAAAAUAUGUUCCCUGUAAAUUAUUUAUGUUGCAGGCAAUGGGAAAAAAAAUUCCCUUUGGGAAUAUAAAUUCAUCUCACAAAAUACAAAAUACCUUUUUUUUUUUUUUUUUGUAGUCACACAUCUCUCUUUUUGUAUGUUGUCUUUUGUCCAGGAAACAAAAUUACAAUUAAAUUAACACUUUUAAAUAAAUUUGUCUUUUAAAAACACACUGCCUUUUCAGAGGCCAUGGUGUCAAUUCUAUUUUAGUCAUUCUCAGAGGAUGGUUGUGGACUUUCAUUUAUUCCCCAAAUCAGCCGAUUUGGAAGUCCUGGUGUUCCAUGCAUACAUUGUGAUAAUUCAUUUAAAGUGUCUCUUAAAACUCUGAAUAUCUAAUUUUCCCUUUCUUCUUAAAGUUUGUAUUAUUUCAUGGAGGACUGGUCAGGAGAGUGAGGUGACUUUGUGCAGUUCCAUACGUCUCUGACAAAUGCAACACUUUACUGCCUGGCUUUCCUCAUGCUCUGGGCACAGAGCAUGUGAGCCUGAUGGUUCCUGUCUGGGAAGAGUGGCUAGAAAUGUUGAUAUCUCCCAUCUUUUGAUUUUAAUAGAUGAAAGUGCUUAAGUCAUCCUGAUUUGAAACUCUUUCAAGCAUGAUAAUCCAGCGUAUCUUUUAAAAUGUAUAUAUUUGGGAGGUUUUUGUUUUCAUGAAUUGCAAACUUUAGAGUUGCUGGAACUUGAGAAAUCUCCUAAGUGAUCUGUUUUGUUGGUUGGAUAAGAAAGCUGCAUCCUGUGGAUGCCAUCUGCUUGCAACUGCUUGUGUGGUUGUAGGCCAAGAGAGAUGCCCAUGUAUCUGUGUCAUCAGCUCCGGACCUGCCAUUCCGAGAAGCAGUUCUUAUCCACCACUGGCUGGGGCAGUGGUGACUUCUUUCUUCUCCUCUCUCUGUCAGCAGGCAGCUUGGGGUAGCAGCUAAGCUGAGACUCCUGAGUCAGACUCUUUAGACUUGAGCUCUAGUAUUGGUUUUGCAACCUGUAAGCUGAUGGCCCAGAGCAGUUUUGCUGUAAGACCCAGACUUCUGUGUGUAAAAUGGAAAUGGCUGUGACUGACCUUGGAGCCUUGUUAAAUGGAGCAGAUGAGGGGUGGCUUGUGAAGUGCUCAGCACAACGCCUGUAAGGGUCAUCAAAUUCUGCAACUAGCUUCAUGUUUAUCCUUCUAGAAACAGUGCCAUGGAAACUUCAGAGUUCUACCUUAGGACACAAUGCUAAUCUUUUGAAGUGAAAAUCUUGUUUUAAAAAACCCAGUUUUGUUUUUAACCUGUAUUUAAUUUGAAAGGGUUAUUUUCAGCAAAUAGUCUUCAAUUUUUAUUAAUUAUUAAAGCAUCAUUUCAAUGCUAAAGUUUCAAAGACUGUGCCUUAUCUUUGCUCUGUACCUCUAUGAAAAUAAAACUGCAAUAAUAAUAUUGCUUUCAAAGGAAAAUUAGAACUAAAUGCUGGCCCCUACUUGUUUUGUAAGAAUGUAUUUGAACACAGUAAGUCAUUCUUAAUAUUUAGAGCUAUUACCAUAUACACCAUUUAAUUUCUUGAAAAUCCAAGUGCUAUUCAUCUCCAGGUCAUUAUACCACUAAAAGUACACAACUUAGUAAAACUACAAUGUGAUAACUGUAGAAUUUGUACUGAAGUAUACGUGCAUUUCUUACCAGAUUUUUAAAAUGCAUACCACAUGCCAGAAAUUGGAACAAAUGCUGGCCCAGUGCAUCUCAAAUUUACUGUGUGUAUGGAUCACCUGGGAUAUUCUCAAACUGUGGAGUCUGACUCAGAUCUGAGGAAGGCUCUGAGAUUCUUCCUUUCCAUCCAGCUCCCAGGUGGUAUGGGUACCCCAGUUCUAUGGAUCAAACCCAGAAGUAAGGGUCUAUGGUGUCUGUAGCUGGUACACGGAGUGGACAAUAGAUGAUUACAAUAAUAACUGAUUAAACUUCAAGCAUGCCAUAUAGUAUUAUAACCAGAGUCCUCAGGCUUUGUAUUGAAUUCUCAAAACUUACUCAUCUUACAUCUGAAAGUUUGUGCCAUUUGGUCAACAUUCUCCCCAUCUCCUCCACCCUCCAGCCACUGGCAACCACCAUUCUACUCUAUGUGGUAUGAGUUCUACAGAUUUGCUUUUUAAUUUAGAGUCUAUAUAUAAGUAAUAUCAUAUAGUAUUUGCCUUUCUUUGACUUAUUUCUCUCAGCAUAAUGCCCUCCAGGCUCAUCUUUGUUGUCACAAAUGGUAGAAUUUCCUUCUUUUUGUGGCUGAGUAGUAUUCCAGUGUGUGUGUGUGUGUGUGUGUGUGUGUGUGUGUGUGUGUGUGUGUAUGAGAGAGAGAGACCUUUUCUUUAUCCAUCUAUGCAUAGGUAGGCACUUAGGUUGUUCCAUAUCUUGACUACUGUGAAUAAUGUUGCAACAAGCACAGGGAUGCAAAUAUGUCAGAUGCUGAUUUCAUUUCUUUUGGUCUUAUACUCCCAAAGUGGAAUUGUGGGAUCAUAUGCUGAUUCUAUUUUUAAUUUUUUGAGGAGCCUCCAUACAGUUUUCCAUUUGAAAGAGACUAGAUCUUAAGAGUUCUCACCACAGAAAAGAACCAUGUAACAUGAGGGAUAUGUUAAUUACCUUAAUUUGGUAAAUAUUAUAUUUCAUAAUACAUAUGUAAAUCAAAUCAUUUUGUUGUACAUGUUAAACCUAUGCAGUUUUAUCAAUUAUACCUCAGUAAAGUUGGGAAAUCAUUAUUGUUAAUAACAAUUUCUAUUUUUUCUGAAAAGUAAACAAUGUUUUCAUAGUUGUGUUUCAGAGUAUGGGAAUAUAAGCUCUUUGGUCUUUGUUGAAAAAUAAAAAUUUAUAAUAGGUUGCUGGUGAAAAAUGGGGCUGUUUCAGAAAGGUGGGGUUCAUCUUUGAGCUUCUAGUCUAGGUUUCCCAUCAUAAUUACUUGGAACCCCUCCUUGGAGAGUCUGAUUUAAUUAGCUGAACCUGUCUGGCUGGGGAGUUGACCGCUGGGAUGAGAGGUAGGGUCAGAAGAGAAAGAAAUACAGUAUUUCAGUGCCUUCCAAACAUUUUCAGCAGCAGUAGCCUCUUUCUAGGCUAUUGAUGGAUUCCAUUCAUGCAUGGAAAAUAAAAUAGUUUUGAAUUCUUUUGGAGAACACUGGAAUAAAAGAUUAAACUGAUUCCUUGGCCAAAAAUUUCUUAGUCUUUAAGCAUCCUGCUGGGUGGAAUGACUCAAAGGUCAGUUAUAGGAGGUGGCAGUUCACCAAACGCAUUUGACUAGGAAGCAUGUUUGGUGGGAAAUAGAUUAACACCUGAGUCUGUGGUUUAGAAAAGUCUCUGCUUCUUGAUGCAUCACGGAUACUGGCCUGACUGGAGCCCUGGAAAGAUUUACAUUCCAUUUUAUACCUCAAGCUGAUAGCGACUUGAUACCAACUUGCUGUUUCUUCAAUCUCUUUUAUCCAUCUGCAGAAUCUUCUCUUCUGUGUGCCAGCAGAGUCCUUAGUAGCCCAAUUCAGAUUGGUCAAAGAAUGUUGGCUUUGGAGUGAGAGAGAUGAUGGGUUAGAAAUAUGGUUUUCCUCUCUGUAGCUAGGUCAUUUGAAUUAGUUAUUCAAACUCCCAGAGUGUUUGUUUCCUGGCUGUAAAAUGAGGUUAAUUAUACUUAUCUUGAUGGUGAAGAUUGAAAUAUGGGACAGGAACCCAUCACUGAAUGUGGUGCAAAGAUACUCAGUAAACCAUAACCACCAUGAUUAUCAAGCUGUGUAUGAAAAAUGACAAAUCAGCAAUCGAGGUAGAGAGCAGUCAUAGUUUUAGGAAAGAGAAAUAAUUCCCCAGUGAGGUCAUCAAAGAAUAUUUUCCAGAAAAAUGGGAUUUGACAUAGGCUCUGAGAAUGGAAAGGGUCUAGACAGAAAAUGUGUGUGGGUAUUUUAGGCAGGGGAUGUGUGAAAUCAAAAUUACAGGUGUUGGCAAAGCACAGGAAAUGGUCGAUGAUAUGAGAAAAAGCAAUCCAUUGUUUCAAUAGAACAGUAAGAGAUAACUUAAAUACCUUAUGGCAAGCCCCAUUUUUUUCUUGAUAAAAUAUUUAUUGUAUUUCUAAUAUGUGCUGAAGUAAGAAAAACAGUGCUUCCAGAAAAUAAAGGCGAUUUUGGUAUGUUAGAUGGAUUGGGAAAAGAAGAAAGGAGAGCUAAUAAACCACUACAACAUUCUAUGAGCAGGGCACAUAGAAUUUCUAAGACCGAUUGAUCAGAGAGUAGAAAGAGAAAGAAAAAUAAUGGACUUACUGAGAGCCAGAAAAGUCUGCCCCUGGAAUUUGCAAAUGGCUGUGCAGAGAUCUUAGAACUUCCACUUUAAGCUGGGAACUUAUUUAAAAUUCUGUAAGUAACAAAUGCUGCUGAAAAGGAAACCUUCCUAUGUAAAUUGGUGCAGCCACUAUGGAAAAUAGUAUGGAGAUUCCUUUAAAAACUAAAAAUAGUGUUGCCACGUGAUCCAUUCCUUAGUAUACAUUCAGAGAAAAUUAUAAUUAGAAAAGAUAAAGCACCCCAAUUUCACAGCAGCACCAUGUACAAUAGCUAAGACAUGGAAGCAACCCAUAUGCCCAUUGACAGAUGAAUGUAUAAAGACGAUACGGUGUGUGUGUGUGUGUAUACACAUAUAAACCUAUACCAUAUCUAUAUACACAUAUGUAAUAAUGCCAUUUGCAGUAAUAUGGAUGGACGUAGAGAUUAUCAUACUAAGUGAAGUAAGUCAGAGAAAGACAAAUACCAUAUGAUAUCACUUAUAUGUGACAUCUAAACAAGGAUACAAAAUGAACCUACAAAAUAGAAAUAGCCUCACAGACAUAGAAAACAAACUUAUGGUUACCAAAGGGGAAAGGCGGUGGGGGAGGAAUAAAUUAGGAGUUUGGAAUUAGCAGAUGCAAACUACUAUAUAGAAAAUAGAUAAAUAACAAAAUCCUACUGUAUAGCACAAGGAACUAUAUUUAAUAUCCUAUAAUUAACUAUAAUGGAGAAGAAUGUGAAAAAUUACUGAAUCACUUUGUUAUACCCCUGAAACUAAUACAACAUUGUAAGUCAACUAUAUUUCAGUAAAAAAUCCAAGUGUCCAGGGCUCAGAGCUGGACUGUUUGGGUUCAGUGAUCUCCAUUUUAAUCAGUACUCUAGAAGAGUUUUGAGGAAUUCAGCUUUCAGCCAUAUGGGGAUGACUUAUAAGGAAACCCUGUGCUCAGCUAGAGCAGGGAAGAUCCCAGAGGCCUUUGCAACUCACCCCUUCCUCUCACGGUCUCAGAGAACAGGGUGGGUUAGGAUGGAUCUGCUCUUGGAAGACCUUCUCAGGUAACUGAUCCUCCUUUUUUCUGCAGGUAGCUCCCAGCUGUGUGAUCUGGAUUUUAGAGGGGACUCUUGGUGAAAAGGAAUAGGAAACUAACCUGAAAUUCAAGAAACAGCAAAGGGCCAGGAGGAACAUCUGACUUAUAAAGAGGGGAAUUUUUAGGGUAAAGUUAGUAAUAAAAAAAAAAUCUAGUAUACAUGGUUUAAGAUGUUCAGAGGAAGAAAGUAUAGUG
rnacentral:lncRNA from 1 species